UCAAAAACGGAGAUGACAAUAAUGGCGGGUAGUCGAAUCAGAGUCUCCUCUUUCCAUUCCCACUGAUUAUCUCUCUCUGGUCUCUCGCCCACACUUACGCAGCAGUGCUUUUUUGUACCAAUGGAGGGCGCAGGGGAGAGUUCUACGCUGACGCGGAUGGCUCAAAUGCGGUUAGCAUGUGAACGUGAAAUGCCAAUUCAGAAGCACGGACUCGACUCGCUGGAUGAUUCCUAUCAAAAUAAUUUCGAUUCCGCCAAAUCGCAAGCUCGGAGAACCGUUCUGCUUCAAGGCAAACUUGAACAGGUUAAAGGCGAGUUGAAGGAAGCGGAGGAUGCUCUGGUGAAGUCUCUUGCUGUGAAGAGUCGGAAAGAGGCAAUGCAGAUGGCACUAAUGGAGUCUAUAUCCAUUACAAAAGCUAAAGUCGAUAAACUGAAAAAGAAUGUGCAGGAUCAGAAGGAAAGGAAAGAUGGAUAUGCUGCUAUACUAUCUCAACAUUCUGAAGCUUUGACAACUUCUGAGAAACAAUGUAGUCAGAACAAGCAGCAUCAAGAACAAAUCGAGGAAGCCAUUUCAUGGUAUAACAAGGUUCUUGGCUUCCGUGUUGAAUCUGGUCGUGGUGUAAAAUUCAUAUUCACCAACAUUAAUUGUGAGAAGCUAGAUGAGGAGUACUCCUUUACCCUACGACAUGAAAAUGAGAUCUACACAUUGAUUAAAUGCGAUCCGCAUCUGAAUGACACAAAGGAGCUGAUUAAGGAUUUAAACAAAACCAAUGGAUUAUUCAAAUUUGUGAGAACAAUGAGAGAGAAAUUUCUUGAAGCUGCAGCACAUGGCACUUCCCUGUGCGAACUGUCUAUAAACCAAGACUUUUCAACAAUUUCCUCGUCAGGCCUGGUUGCUUCAUACUCAACUGAGCAGACAUAUGAAUCUCCAAUCGUAAACAAAGGGGUUCAAAUCAGUAAAUCUAGCAGCAAUAUAAAGAAAGAUAGAAAGGGAAACAAAAUUCUCUCUUCCCGAUCUCCUUAUUCUCUUCGGGAAUCUGCACGUUCAAAGGUCAGGAAAUGAUCUCCAUUGUCGACGUAUAUCAGAUGUUUUUAUACGAGCAUCGAGGUAGUAUGCUCUUCGACGAGGCACAUCCAGUUCGCAUCCAGCAAGGUUCUCCAAAUGGACAUCUGCAGUUUGAACUUGGAGGAUCCCGUUGGACUAUGCUUAGUAGACGACCAAUGAGACGGCUGCAAACAGGUACCCUGUGUGUAUGAACUGUUUUUGAGCAAUGUCGACAAUUCUCCACGAGGUACGUAUAGUAAAAAUGUAUGGCAGUUUUCGAGGAGUUAUUCUAUGUCCCGAUUUUGUGAAAAUAAAAAUAAAAAUACUAGUUUAUUUUAAAUGAUCUAUUAUAUACUACCUUUCU